rnacentral:rRNA from 1 species
GAGUUUGAUCAUGGCUCAGGACGAACGCUGGCGGCGUGCUUAACACAUGCAAGUCGAGCGGAAAGGCCCUUCGGGGGUGCUCGAGUGGCGAACGGGUGAGUAACACGUGGGUGAUCUGCCCUGCACUUUGGGAUAAGCCUGGGAAACUGGGUCUAAUACCGGAUAGGACUCCGAGAUGCAUGUCUUGGGGUGGAAAGCUUUUGCGGUGUGGGAUGGGCCCGCGGCCUAUCAGCUUGUUGGUGGGGUGAUGGCCUACCAAGGCGACGACGGGUAGCCGGCCUGAGAGGGUGUCCGGCCACACUGGGACUGAGAUACGGCCCAGACUCCUACGGGAGGCAGCAGUGGGGAAUAUUGCACAAUGGGCGCAAGCCUGAUGCAGCGACGCCGCGUGAGGGAUGACGGCCUUCGGUU